GGGAUAGGGACCUUAUUUGGGGACGGGAACAGGAACACAUAACAAAAAAAAUCAAGAGAGAGAAUUAGAGACAGAACCAGGGAAACACACACAACAGCACCUACAGUAGGGUGUGGGGUCAAGCCCGAGGGACUAGGCGUGUUUAAAGAGAAAAUCAAAUUCAGGUGAUCUGAAUUAGUGCACAAGUCACAUGCUUUUUCUGUGCCCUAUGAUAUCAGCACCAGGGGGGUCAGGUUUCAACGUGCACUAAAGCCUCACAGCGACACUAACUCAUGGCACAGCAGAAAAUCUACCAAGGGAUGGACUAAGAAGAGAGGAAAUCCAUGGUUCAGAGCAAACUCUAUCCAAAAGAGACGUUAAGGCAAGACUGAAGCGAGAGGCGCAACGCAAGACAGUUCGAUGCAAUUGAAACACUCCUGUCAGCAAAGAGGAGGAGGAUGACGGAUCAGCGAUUACGGCAAACAGCGAGAGUCACGCCGGCGGAAGUAUGUGGCAACACUCACUGAAUGAAAUGUUCACAUCUACGGCACACAGUAACCUUAGCGCUUUGUAUCAUGGAAUGCAGUAUAUAGACAUACAUUUUGUAUUUGAUUUUAAUCCUGCAUGCCUUGAAGCAGUGUUGCUAAAGGGCUAACGCUAAGGCUGUGUAAUGCAAGAGGAUUCUGGUAUUUUGCAAGCCUCCCACAUCCCUACCCACCCUGAUCCAGAGGAGUUGGGCUCACUGCCCUACCCUGGGCCCUGCAUUGAGCUGGGAAGGGAAACAUGUUCUCAGAACAAGCUGUUGGGGAAAACGUGCUGCCUUACUAUGGGCUUGUGGCCCAAACUCUAUCUGGCGCCGUGCCCAUUUCAUUCAGCUCUAGGGGGGAAGCCUUCCUGUAAUACAAGUGACGUCCAGGAACCACAAGACCCAAACACAGGCUGACCCACCCGCUAACCCAGCCCAUCAAACAUAAAUAUAUUUGAAGUUUAUUUUAAGCUUAUAUAUUUCACUUCAUUUCUGCUAUCUUAUUUACUAAACUGAUAAUUCUAAAUUCCCUCCGCGCCAUAUAAUUUUUUUUAGCCCAAACAAAUGAAAGACUACAACCCCCCCCGACAACGACCCUGAACAAAAGGGCAAAGUCCCAUCCGACUGAGAAGGAAGACUAUUGUUGCCUUGGUCCAUCUGGACCCUAUAAUGAAUUGCAGAACUUCAUAAACAAGAUCUGUCUGAGCCGGACAGCGGAAGAGCGAUGAGUGUCGUACAUUUCCUUUGCCGUUCCUGGCAGGAUCGACAGCAGAGGAAGCGGAUCUUUAUCUCGCUCCGCAGGCAGCAGCCAAGGCCUGGACUCCUCACCACUUCAGCAAAUUUGCUGUCGUCCCGGAAACCACUGGCCAAGGUCACAUGGAACAAACCUACCAUGGGCUGGCAGUUCAAGGAAAAAUGUACUCAAACCCAGGACACAGCUAUCUCACCCUAAUUGGCCUUUCGCAGCUUGGAUGGAGCCGAAUACCGAGGUUUAACUUCCCGUACUACAAAUGAGAGCCAGAGCAUAUCAUGAAGCCUGUACCAGAACUGUACCGAAUAAGGAACAAAAAACUGAAGGUUGUUUGUUCAGAUCCCAGUCCCUAAGGAGUGUUCUAUCUUUUAAUAUACAGAUUUAUAAAUAGCAAAAUAAUAACGUUUUUGCCAAGAAUUUAAGUAUAAAGAAGCUUUAACCCUGAA